GACCCGUCUUGAAACACGGACCAAGGAGUGUACCUAAUAUGCGAGUGUUUGGGUGUUAAACCCAUACGCGUAAUGAAAGUGAACGGAGGUGAGAGCCCUUAAGGGUGCAUCAUCGACCGAUCCUGAUGUCUUCGGAUGGAUUUGAGUAAGAGCAUAUUGGGUGCGACCCGAAAGAUGGUGAUCUAUACGUGAAUAGGGUGAAGCCAGAGGGAACUCUGGUGGAGGCUCGCAGCGGUUCUGACGUGCAAAUCGAUCGUCAAAUUUGCGUAUAGGGGCGAAAGACUAAUCGAACCAUCUAGUAGCUGGUUCCUUCCGA
rnacentral:rRNA from 1 species